AUUGAACGCUGGCGGCAGGCCUAACACAUGCAAGUCGAACGGUAACAGGAAGCAGCUUGCUGCUUCGCUGACGAGUGGCGGACGGGUGAGUAAUGUCUGGGAAACUGCCUGAUGGAGGGGGAUAACUACUGGAAACGGUAGCUAAUACCGCAUAACGUCGCAAGACCAAAGAGGGGGACCUUAGGGCCUCUUGGCAUCGGAUGUGCCCAGAUGGGAUUAGCUAGUAGGUGGGGUAACGGCUCACCUAGGCGACGAUCCCUAGCUGGUCUGAGAGGAUGACCAGCCACACUGGAACUGAGACACGGUCCAGACUCCUACGGGAGGCAGCAGUGGGGAAUAUUGCACAAUGGGCGCAAGCCUGAUGCAGCCAUGCCGCGUGUAUGAAGAAGGCCUUCGGGUUGUAAAGUACUUUCAGCGGGGAGGAAGGGAGUAAAGUUAAUACCUUUGCUCAUUGACGUUACCCGCAGAAGAAGCGCCGGCUAACUCCGUG
rnacentral:rRNA from 1 species